rnacentral:rRNA from 1 species
GACGAACGCUGGCGGCGUGCUUAACACAUGCAAGUCGUACGGUAAGGCCCUUUCGGGGGUACACGAGUGGCGAACGGGUGAGUAACACGUGAGUAACCUGCCCACAACUUUGGGAUAACGCUAGGAAACUGGUGCUAAUACUGGAUAUGUGCCCCUGCUGCAUGGUGGGGGUUGGAAAGCUCCGGCGGUUGUGGAUGGACUCGCGGCCUAUCAGCUUGUUGGUGGGGUAGUGGCCUACCAAGGCGGCGACGGGUAGCCGGCCUGAGAGGGUGACCGGCCACAUUGGGACUGAGAUACGGCCCAGACUCCUACGGGAGGCAGCAGUGGGGAAUAUUGCACAAUGGGCGCAAGCCUGAUGCAGCAACGCCGCGUGCGGGAGGACGGCCUUCGGGUUGUAAACCGCUUUCAGCAGGGACGAAGCUUUUUGUGACGGUACCUGCAGAAGAAGCACCGGCUAACUACGUG